AGUCACUGACAUUAGAUACCCCUGUAGUCCAGGGUGUAAACGCUGCAGACUUGGUGUUGGAAGCCCUUUGGGGGCAUUCAGUGCCGGAGAGAAGUUGUUAAGUCUGCUACUUGGGAGUACGUCCGCAAGGAUGAAACUUAAAGGAAUUGGCGGGGGAGCACCGCAACGGGAGGAGCGUGCGGUUUAAUUGGAUUCAACGCCGAAAAACUCACCAGCAGCGACUGUUACAUGAAAGUCAGGUUGAUGACCUUACUAGAUUUUCAG
rnacentral:rRNA from 1 species